GUUGACUAAAAAAGACUGAAAUGUAUUGUACAUCAUAGCUACUGACACACACACAGAGCGCUUGCUGAAGACAGAAGGCUAAAUGCCGGUUUCAUCGCACAUGCUUUUAAGCUUCCUGGUCUCUGAUGUCACCCGCCUAUGACGUCUUGCCCAUCCAUUGGUCUGAUUACGCACAUGAUUCAGAGCCGGUCUCGCUGAAGGCGUUCCCCAAAGCAUUCUCCGACGCAGCUCGAGUUCCUGAAGAGGAACUGUCCUCUUGUAAAGAGGAGCUGAGACAUUACAUCCAGCAGAUGGAGGAGGUGAAGAAAUAUCAUGAUAGACAACUGGAGCUGAAGAACAGCAAGACAGCUGAGCUCAGAGAUGAGUAAGUGUCGAGUGGAGCUGUCAGACAUGGAGCUUGAGCUGUUGCGUCUGAGGAGAGACAGCAACACGAAAGCCUCUCAGCUCAAUCAGAUGGAGGAGACACUCGAUGAGACCAAAGGCCUGCUGGAUAAGAAGAGUGAAAUGGGUAUGCAAAUCCAGUGAUCGCCAACAAAACAAUAAUGGGCAUAACCUUCUGAGUUUUAUGUGAAACCUAAGCCUUUAAAAAAAAGU
ensembl:lncRNA